GAUGAACGCUGGCGGCGUGCCUAAUACAUGCAAGUCGAGCGAACAGACGAGGAGCUUGCUCCUCUGACGUUAGCGGCGGACGGGUGAGUAACACGUGGAUAACCUACCUAUAAGACUGGGAUAACUUCGGGAAACCGGAGCUAAUACCGGAUAACAUGUUGAACUGCAUGGUUCAACAGUGAAAGACGGUCUUGCUGUCGCUUAUAGAUGGAUCCGCGCCGCAUUAGCUAGUUGGUAAGGUAACGGCUUACCAAGGCAACGAUGCGUAGCCGACCUGAGAGGGUGAUCGGCCACACUGGAACUGAGACACGGUCCAGACUCCUACGGGAGGCAGCAGUAGGGAAUCUUCCGCAAUGGGCGAAAGCCUGACGGAGCAACGCCGCGUGAGUGAAGAAGGUCUUCGGAUCGUAAAACUCUGUUAUUAGGGAAGAACAAAUGUGUAAGUAACUAUGCACGUCUUGACGGUACCUAAUCAGAAAGCCACGGCUAACUACGUG
rnacentral:rRNA from 1 species